rfam:Camelus ferus unplaced genomic scaffold scaffold1195, whole genome shotgun sequence.
GAGGGUAUAGCUCAGUGGUAGAAUGCCUGUCUAGCAUGCAUGAGAUGCUGGGUUCAAUCCCCAGUACCUUCA